UGGGUAUAACAGUCUUGGCUGGAAUUUUUGGGCUCAGUCUUCCAGACAAGACUGUUAUACCCAGC